rnacentral:rRNA from 1 species
GACGAACGCUGGCGGCGUGCUUAACACAUGCAAGUCGAACGGAAAGGCACUACUUUUGUGGUGUGCUCGAGUGGCGAACGCGGGAGGAACACGUGAGUAACCUGCCCUAGACUUUGGGAUAACUUCAGGAAACUGGGGCUAAUACCGGAUAGGAGCUCCUGCUGCAUGGUGGGCGUUGGAAAGUUGCGGCGGUUGGGGAUGGACUGGCGGCUGAUCAGCUUGUUGGUGGGGUAGUGGCUUACCAAGGAUUUGACGGGUCGCCGGCAUGGGAGGGUGGACGGCCACCUUGGGCCUGAGAGACGGCGCAGUGUCCUAUGGUAGGCAGCAGUGGGGAAUAUUGCACAAUGGGCGGAAGCCGGAUGCAGCAACGCCGCGUGCGGGAUGACGGUCUUCGGGUUGUAAACCGCUUUCGCCUGUGACGCAGCGUGAGUGACGGUACUGGGUAAAGAAGCACCGGCUAACUACGUG